rnacentral:tRNA from 3 species
GCCAGAGUAGCUCAGUUGGUUAGAGCAGCCGUUUUGUAAACGGCAGAUCGUCGGUUCAAAUCCGACCUCUGGCU